rnacentral:rRNA from 1 species
AGGGAAAGAUCCUGGCUCAGAUUGAACGCUGGCGGCAGGCUUAACACAUCCAAGUCGAGCGGAAACGAGAAUAGCUUGCUAUUCGGCGUCGAGCGGCGGACGGGUGAGUAAUGCUUGGGAAUAUGCCUUAUGGUGGGGGACAACAGUUGGAAACGACUGCUAAUACCGCAUAACGUCUACGGACCAAAGGGGGGGAUCUUCCGACCUCUCGCCAUUUGAUUAGCCCAAGUGAGAUUAGCUAGUUGGUAAGGUAAUGGCUUACCAAGGCGACGAUCUCUAGCUGGUUUGAGAGGAUGAUCAGCCACACUGGGACUGAGACACGGCCCAGACUCCUACGGGAGGCAGCAGUGGGGAAUAUUGCACAAUGGGCGAAAGCCUGAUGCAGCCAUGCCGCGUGUGUGAAGAAGGCCUUGGGGUUGUAAAGCACUUUCAGCGAGGAGGAAAGGUUAGUAGUUAAUAACUGCUAGCUGUGACGUUACUCGCAGAAGAAGCACCGGCUAACUUCGUGCCAGCAGCCGCGGUAAUACGAGGGGUGCAAGCGUUAAUCGGAAUUACUGGGCGUAAAGCGUGCGUAGGUGGUUUGUUAAGCAAGAUGUGAAAGCCCUGGGCUCAACCUGGGAACUGCAUUUUGAACUGGCAAGCUAGAGUUUUGUAGAGGGUAGUGGAAUUUCCAGUGUAGCGGUGAAAUGCGUAGAGAUUGGAAGGAACAUCAGUGGCGAAGGCGGCUACCUGGACAAAGACUGACACUGAGGCACGAAAGCGUGGGGAGCAAUACAGGAUUAGAUACCCUGGUAGUCCACGCCGUAAACGAUGUCAACUAGCCGUCUGUGGUCUUGAACCGUGGGUGGCGUAGCUAACGCGCUAAGUUGACCGCCUGGGGAGUACGGCCGCAAGGUUAAAACUCAAAUGAAUUGACGGGGGCCCGCACAAGCGGUGGAGCAUGUGGUUUAAUUCGAUGCAACGCGAAGAACCUUACCAUCCCUU